AUGAACGCUGGCGGCGUGCCUAAUACAUGCAAGUCGCGCGAACAGACGAGGAGCUUGCUCCUCUGACGUUAGCGGCGGACGUGUGAGUAACACGUGGAUAACCUACCUAUAAGACUGGGAUAACUUCGGGAAACCGGAGCUAAUACCGGAUAAUAUAUUGAACCGCAUGGUUCAAUAGUGAAAGACGGUUUUGCUGUCACUUAUAGAUGGAUCCGCACCGCAUUAGCUAGUUGGUAAGGUAACGGCUUACCAAGGCAACGAUGCGUAGCCGACCUGAGAGGGUGAUCGGCCACACUGGAACUGAGACACGGUCCAGACUCCUACGGGAGGCAGCAGUAGGGAAUCUUCCGCAAUGGGCGAAAGCCUGACGGAGCAACGCCGCGUGAGUGAUGAAGGUCUUCGGAUCGUAAAACUCUGUUAUUAGGGAAGAACAAAUGUGUAAGUAACUAUGCACGUCUUGACGGUACCUAAUCAGAAAGCCACGGCUAACUACGUG
rnacentral:rRNA from 1 species